rnacentral:rRNA from 1 species
UACGUAGGGGGCAAGCGUUGUUCGGAAUUACUGGGCGUAAAGGGCGCGUAGGCGGCCUGUUGCGUCAGGUGUGAAAGCCCCGGGCUCAACCUGGGAUGUGCACUUGAUACGGGCGGGCUGGAAUCCGGGAGAGGAUGGUGGAAUUCCCAGUGUAGAGGUGAAAUUCGUAGAUAUUGGGAAGAACACCGAUGGCGAAGGCAGCCAUCUGGACCGGUAUUGACGCUGAGGCGCGAAAGCGUGGGGAGCAAACAGG